UACGUAGGGAGCAAGCGUUGUUCGGAUUUACUGGGCGUAAAGGGCGCGUAGGCGGCGCGGUAAGUCACUUGUGAAAUCUCUGAGCUUAACUCAGAACGGCCAAGUGAUACUGCAGUGCUAGAGUGCAGAAAGGGCAAUCGGAAUUCUUGGUGUAGCGGUGAAAUGCGUAGAUAUCAAGAGGAACACCUGAGGUGAAGGCGAGUUGCUAGGCUGACACUGACGCUGAUGCGCGAAAGCGUGGGGAGCGAACAGG
rnacentral:rRNA from 1 species